ACGAAGCACUACUGGACUAAGAUAAUACCAAAACUCUUUAAUUACAAUACUCAACAACGAUUAAUCUCCACGAAAUACAUCUCACAAUUUCACAUUAACUCUACAAUAUCUCACUCCCAUGCGGUUCUCUCUCCUCCAAAAACACAUGCACUAAAAGGCGCUAAAACACAUACACUAAAAGGCGCUUAAACACAUACACUAAAAGGCGCUUCUCUACAC